CACGGAGGGUGCGAGCGUUGUCCGGAAUCACUGGGCGUAAAGGGCGCGUAGGUGGCCGAGCAAGGUCGCGGUGAAAGCCCGGGGCUCAACCCCGGGUCGGCCGUGGCAACUACUGGGCUGGAGCACUGUAGGGGCGGGUGGAAUUCCGGGUGUAGCGGUGGAAUGCGUAGAGAUCCGGAAGAACACCGGUGGCGAAGGCGGCCCGCUGGGCAGUUGCUGACACUGAGGCGCGACAGCGUGGGGAGCAAACAGG
rnacentral:rRNA from 1 species